GUUCUUCUUCUUCUUCUUCUUCUUCUUCUUCUUCUUCUUCUUCUUCUUCUUCUUCUUCUUCUUCUUCUUCUUCUUCUUCUUCUUCUUCACUCUCAAACUCACCUUAAGCAUGUCAAUCUGUAUGCUGCUAUCUUCGUCCUAAAAUAUUGUUGAGAUGCAAAACCAAAUUCUCUUAUACUCCCUCCAUCCCCAAUUCUCGGUAUAAGUGCAUUUCUAACACUGCAGACAUAAAAUAGGUAUAAAAAUAAUUUAAAUAUUCAUCAUUAAAUAAGAAAAUAAUAUAAAGUGAGAGA
rnacentral:lncRNA from 1 species